CUCACGCUUACAUAUUAAAAUAAAGGGCAGAUACCAACAAUGAACACAGUAUCAAGCAUAAUCUUUCUGUUAGAUAUGUUCCUAUAGUUGAUGAGUUUAUUAACCAAACCCUCAGUGUUAAAUUUCAUGUUCUGUAAAUUCAAUGGCAUAUUAAAGAAUAUUAAGCAACCAGAUCAAGACAUUAAGGCUUGGAAGGAUCCUGAGCAUUAAAAGCUGCUGCUCCACAGGAGCUGGGUAGCAAAAGUCAACUCAACUACUUCAACGGGCAAAAAACCAGUGAGGUCAACAGCAGGGGCAGCAGGGGCCCACUCUAAAUAAAGAAGCACCUUGCAAGCUUCCAUUCAUUCUGUCCUGACACCGUCAUCUCUUCGUCCUCUGAAUGAGUCCAGUUGAACCUGAAGUUGUUAAUUUCCAUACAGAGUUGUUCCAGUGUCUUCUGAAGUCACUAACCACAAGAAGGUUUCCAUUGCAAUCCACUGAGAGGAGAGAAGACCAGAAACAGUCAAAGGUGAGGCACUAUGUUAGGAGAUGUGUGCUAGGUUAGGAGACGUGGUUAACGACAGGAAGAAGA
rnacentral:lncRNA from 1 species